rnacentral:rRNA from 1 species
UAAUACGGAGGGGGCAAGCGUUGUUCGGAAUUACUGGGUGUAAAGGGUGUGUAGGCGGUUUGGUAAGUUAGAUGUGAAAUCUCUGAGCUCAACUCAGAAACUGCAUUUGAUACUGCCAGACUAGAGUACGAUAGAGGAAAAUGGAAUUCUGGGUGUAAGAGUGAAAUCUGCAGAUAUCCAGAGGAACAUCAGUAGCGAAGGCGAUUUUCUGGGUCGAUACUGACGCUGAGACACGAAAGCUAGGGGAGCAAACGGGAUUAGAUACCCCGGUAGUCCUAGCCGUAAACGAUGAGGACUAGGUGUUGGUCCGCUUAGGCGGAUCGGUGCCGCAGCUAACGCAUUAAGUCCUCCACCUGGGGAGUACGGUCGCAAGGCUG